CGUGACAGUCCUCCCUGCACUCACUGUGCUAGCAAAGAUGUCCGGGAAGGACAGAAAAGAAUGUAAUGUGCAAUUAAAACAAGGGAGAGUGAUUAAUGUAGGCAAAAAUUAAUCACAAGGGCAGUGUCAAAGUUUGGUGGGACAACUGCGUGUUCAGAAGACACCUGAAAAAAGUGAAAUGAAGAACCAAGGAUCAUCUGAGCAAAGACUCAAGGACCAUUUGAACAAAGACAUCCACAUCUAUACCACAGAUGACUUGGCAUCUAUGGAGGAGUGGAGGACAAGGCUGUUCUCUGAAGUUCCCUUACCCACCUAGAAACCAGAUCCCCAAAGAGGAACACUACGGCCUGCAAUUGCACCCUGCCAUCCACCAGCUCAAGACUGAGGAAUGCAACCAUACCCAGACAGACUUUUUCACAAGACAAUUUCUGCCUCUGGAGCGUGUUCAAAUUCUAAAGAGCAUCAUUUACAAGUAAAUUGCUGUCUCAGGGAAAUAUUCAUUUUCCCUGAAAAUCAUUUACUCCUACACCCCCAAUACCUUCUCACCAAUAAAUAAAGCAUUUAAGGAUCAACCAUCUGGCCAUUUUCUUGAGUUUUCAUAUUUUGUAUGACUCCCAUGCACACAUAUAAUAAAUUUGUUAGGUUUUUCUCUUAUUAAUCUAUCUUUUGUUUUAGGAGUGUUGGCAUGACCUUUUAUGAUCA
rnacentral:lncRNA from 1 species